GUGAGGAAUAUUGCGCAAUGGAGGCAACUCUGACGCAGUCAUGCCGCGUGCAGGAAGAAGGCGCUACGCGUUGUAAACUGCUUUUAACCGGGAAGAAACCCCAGGACGUGUCCUGGGUUGACGGUACCGGAGGAAUAAGCACCGGCUAACUUCGUGCCAGCAGCCGCGGUAAUACGAAGGGUGCAAGCGUUAUCCGGAUUCAUUGGGUUUAAAGGGUGCGUAGGCGGAGCGUUAAGUCAGUGGUGAAAUCCUGCAGCUUAACUGUAGACUUGCCAUUGAUACUGGCGCUCUUGAGUGCGCUUGAAGUGGGCGGAAUGUGCCGUGUAGCGGUGAAAUGCUUAGAUAUGGCACAGAACACCAAUUGCGAAGGCAGCUCACUAAGGCGAUACUGACGCUGAGGCACGAAAGCGUGGGGAUCGAACAGGAUUAGAUACCCUGGUAGUCC
rnacentral:rRNA from 1 species